CCUACGGGAGGCAGCAGUGAGGAAUAUUGGUCAAUGGACGAGAGUCUGAACCAGCCAAGUAGCGUGAAGGAUGACUGCCCUAUGGGUUGUAAACUUCUUUUAUCAAGGAAUAAAACGAGGCACGUGUGCCUUUUUGCGUGUACUUUAUGAAUAAGGAUCGGCUAACUCCGUGCCAGCAGCCGCGGUAAUACGGAGGAUCCGAGCGUUAUCCGGAUUUGUUGGGUUUAAAGGGAGCGUAGAUGGGUUGUUAAGUCAGGUGUGAAAGUUUGCGGCUCAACCGUCAAAUUGCAAUUGAUACUGGCAGUCUUGAGUACAGUUGAGGUAGGCGGAAUUCGUGGUGUAGCGGUGAAAUGCUUAGAUAUCACGAAGAACCCCGAUUGCGAAGGCAGCUUACUAAACUGUGACUGACAUUGAUGCUCGAAAGUGUGGGUAUCAAACAGGAUUAGAUACCCCAGUAGUC
rnacentral:rRNA from 1 species